rnacentral:pre_miRNA from 1 species
AUUAUACUCCCUCCGUUCCUAAAUAUAAGUCUUUGUAGAGAUUUCACUAGUGGUCUACAUACGGAUGUAUAUAGACAUACUUUAGAGUAUAGAUUCAAUCAUUUUGCUCCGUAUGUAGACCCUUAGUGAAAUCGCUUAAAAGACUUAUAUUUAGGAACGGAGGGAGUAUAUG